GGGGGCGAUCUGGUUUCGACGGGUUGUCGAAGUCGGGCGCUGCGUGUCGAGGUCGUGGCAUUCCUCGUUAAACCGCUGCAAUUAUUGGUAAUUUAUAACUGCCGAUGAUAACUACGCUCUCGCUGCCUAACUAACCCUUAGGAACUAGCGACUACCGUCCAUGACGUCCUCUAGUGGGUCGCGGUAGUGAUAUGAGGACUGGCUCCCGAGCGCUGCUCGGCCGUAUCCGGGAGCGAGAUCACGUCGAGCUAGGGUUGGCUUGGCCCGUCUCUUCGCCUGGCCCACCCGAACUCAAGAGGAGACUACGCACGUAGACGCGUCCGUUGGACGCAAUUCGGACGCGGGUUCGAUUCCCGCCGCCUCCACCA
rnacentral:tmRNA from 1 species